GAGGUUUUUAUUUCGGUAAAAAUCUGUAGUGGGGACGGGUGAGGAAGGCGUAUGCUACCUGCCUUUCCGAUGGGGACAGCAGGUCGAAGGGACUGCUAAUACCGAAUGAUGUAUAUCUUCCGCAUGGAGGACGUACCAAAGACGGCCUCUAUAUAUAAGCUGUCACGGAAAGAUGGGCCUGCGUCUGAUUAGCCAGUUGGCGGGGUAAUGGCCCACCAAAGCGACGGUCAGUAGCCGGUCUGAGAGGAUGAACGGCCGCGUUGGGACUGAGACACGGCCCAAACUCCUACGGGAGGCAGCAGUGGGGAAUCUUCCGCAAUGGACGAAAGUCUGACGGAGCAACGCCGCGUGAGUGAAGAAGGUUUUCGAAUCGUAAAGCUCUGUUGUCAGGGACGAGCAGGGGGAGUAUCAACAACACUCUCUCAUGACGGUACCUGACGAGGAAGCCACGGCUAACUACGUGCCAGCAGCCGCGGUAAUACGUAGGUGGCGAGCGUUGUCCGGAAUUAUUGGGCGUAAAGGGAGCGCAGGUGGGAAAGUAAGUCUGCUUUAAAAGUGCGGGGCUCAACCCCGUGAGGGAGUGGAAACUAUUUUUCUUGAGUGCAGGAGAGGAAAGCGGAAUUCCUAGUG
rnacentral:rRNA from 1 species